GCAGUCGACGGUACAGGAAGAAGCUUGCUUCUUUGCUGACGAGUGGCGGACGGGUGAGUAAUGUCUGGGAAACUGCCUGAUGGAGGGGGAUAACUACUGGAAACGGUAGCUAAUACCGCAUAACGUCGCAAGACCAAAGAGGGGGACCUUCGGGCCUCUUGCCAUCGGAUGUGCCCAGAUGGGAUUAGCUAGUAGGUGGGGUAACGGCUCACCUAGGCGACGAUCCCUAGCUGGUCUGAGAGGAUGACCAGCCACACUGGAACUGAGACACGGUCCAGACUCCUACGGGAGGCAGCAGUGGGGAAUAUUGCACAAUGGGCGCAAGCCUGAUGCAGCCAUGCCGCGUGUAUGAAGAAGGCCUUCGGGUUGUAAAGUACUUUCAGCGGGGAGGAAGGGAGUAAAGUUAAUACCUUUGCUCAUUGACGUUACCCGCAGAAGAAGCACCGGCUAACUCCGUGCCAGCAGCCGCGGUAAUACGGAGGGUGCAAGCGUUAAUCGGAAUUACUGGGCGUAAAGCGCACGCAGGCGGUUUGUUAAGUCAGAUGUGAAAUCCCCGGGCUCAACCUGGGAACUGCAUCUGAUACUGGCAAGCUUGAGUCUCGUAGAGGGGGGUAGAAUUCCAGGUGUAGCGGUGAAAUGCGUAGAGAUCUGGAGGAAUACCGGUGGCGA
rnacentral:rRNA from 1 species